GGGGAUAUAGCUCAGUUGGUAGAGUGCUUGUUUCGCAUGCACAAGGCCCUGGGUUCGAUCCCCAGCAUCACCA